AGGCAAAUAAGCCAGCUUGUGGAAGGGGCCUCUGGGUGGCAGCUCUGGGCUUUUGGGUGUUGGACAACCAUAGGCAAAACUGAAAUGGAACAGGGGCAGAAAAUAGCACACUUUUACUCUACGCAACUGUUGCUUUUUCAUGAUCUUCAGGAAUUUUACUGGGAUAAUUAUCCAAAUAAAUUGCAAGCAUUCUAUCCAAAUGGACAUCCAUAAAAAUUCAUCAGAGAGCAUUUUACUACUGAGCUGCAAAGGGAAAAACUUAAAAUGGAUAUGAAAAGUGAAGAAAGUGAUCAUAGGAGAAAACCAUUUCAGAUGACAAGAGCACCUCAAAGGCAGCAGCCUCAAGGAGCAGCCAUGGCCCCAGACUUGUCGCACGGAUGCAGAAAACUUAAUGGAGGAGGCUGAGGUCAGAAUGGGAAGAGUUUUUAAAAAAUAAAAAGGGGAGCUAAUAUGU
rnacentral:lncRNA from 1 species